GUGCGGGGCUCCGGCCCCUAAGGAUGUAGGCCAGUCAGAAACGGCUGGUUUACGCUGUCUAUAUUACCCUUGUCUAUGAGUACUACUGUUUCCUCGGCAGGCUUGCCUGCCAAUGGGGACCCUAUCAAACCUUUUUAUAUUGUUGUAACCGUAACCAAACAAAUAAUCAAAACUUUCAACAACGGAUCUCUUGGUUCU
rnacentral:misc_RNA from 1 species